rnacentral:misc_RNA from 1 species
CAGAGAGUAAAAUACCAAUUUUAACUACAAUUUCUAUAACUAUCUAAAGCUAAUGUAUCCUAAAGAGUGGAAUGCAACACCAUCAAAAUUUUCAUACAAAUCGCAUUAUAAUAGCAAAAAGGUAAUUUGGAGCACUUACACACCCAAUAAUGUUCAAACAGUACAUAUAUGGGAGCUGAUCCUCUAUACAGCUCUCUUAAUCCAACCUCUGCCAGCGAGUGUCUCUCAAGCCAGACUUUUGCUUAAUAAACCAAAUUAGGGUCCCAGCAAAGAACUCAAGCCGUAUCUACCCCGAAUGAGCGAGUCCCAGCUAAGAUCUCAAGCCGUGUCUACCUGUACUGUCCAUAGCCAACACCAUACCACACGCACGCCAACUCACGCACACUAUGUCAAUUCUGACACCUGAAACUCGUUCAGAACGUCUGAAAAUGUUAGGAUUGACUAUAAUAUCGAUCACGUUCUGAGACGGGCCGUCAGGUAACCGGAUCUGGCUGAAACUGCAGUCCCAACACCAGUGAACUAUCCUCGAUUCGAUCUUACAAAGCAAUCUAGACCGUCUGAU